GUAGGGAAUAUUGGGCAAUGGUCGGAAGACUGACCCAGCCAUGCCGCGUGCAGGAAGACGGCCCUCUGGGUUGUAAACUGCUUUUAUCUGGGAAGAAAAAGGCCAUGCGUGGCAAAUUGCCGGUACCAGAUGAAUAAGCACCGGCUAACUCCGUGCCAGCAGCCGCGGUAAUACGGAGGGUGCGAGCGUUGUCCGGAUUUAUUGGGUUUAAAGGGUGCGUAGGCGGCUGAUUAAGUCAGCGGUGAAAGACUUCGGCUUAACCGGAGCAGUGCCGUUGAUACUGGUUGGCUUGAGUGUCGGAUGGGUACAUGGAAUUGAUGGUGUAGCGGUGAAAUGCAUAGAUACCAUCAGGAACACCGAUAGCGAAGGCAUUGUACUGGCCGACAACUGACGCUGAUGCACGAAAGCAUGGGGAGCAAACAGGAUUAGAAACCCUGGUAGUCC
rnacentral:rRNA from 1 species